rnacentral:rRNA from 1 species
UACGAAGGGUGCAAGCGUUACUCGGAAUUACUGGGCGUAAAGCGUGCGUAGGUGGUUUGUUAAGUCUGUUGUGAAAGCCCCGGGCUCAACCUGGGAAUUGCGAUGGAGACUGCAAGGCUAGAAUCUGGCAGAGGGGGGGUAGAAUUCCACGUGUAGCAGUGAAAUGCGUAGAGAUGUGGAGGAACACCGAUGGCGAAGGCAGCCCCCUGGGUCAAGAUUGACGCUCAUGCACGAAAGCUGGGGAGCAAACGAGG